GGAAUCUUGAGCAAUGGGCGGCAGCCUGACUCAGUGCUGUUAUGUGGGUGAUGACGGCCUUCGGGUUGUAAACCUCUUUCAGCAGGGACGAGGCGCAAGUGACGGUACCUGCAGAAGAAGCACCGGCUAACUACGUGCCAGCAGCCGCGGUAAUACGUAGGGUGCAAGCGUUGUCCGGAAUUACUGGGCGUAAAGAGUUCGUAGGCGGUUUGUCGCGUCGUUUGUGAAAACCAGCAGCUCAACUGCUGGCUUGCAGGCGAUACGGGCAGACUUGAGUACUGCAGGGGAGACUGGAAUUCCUGGUGUAGCGGUGAAAUGCGCAGAUAUCAGGAGGAACACCGGUGGCGAAGGCGGGUCUCUGGGCAGUAACUGACGCUGAGGAACGAAAGCGUGGGUAGCGAACAGGAUUAGAUACCCGAG
rnacentral:rRNA from 1 species